UGGGGAAUAUUGCACAAUGGGGGAAACCCUGAUGCAGCGACGCCGCGUGAGCGAUGAGGGCUUUCGAGUCGUAAAGCUCUGUCCUAUGGGAAGAUAAUGACGGUACCAUAGAAGAAAGCCCCGGCUAAUUACGUGCCAGCAGCCGCGGUAAUACGUAAGGGGCGAGCGUUGUCCGGAAUUAUUGGGCGUAAAGAGUGCGUAGGCGGCAAAUUAAGUCAGAUGUGAAAACUAAGGGCUCAACCCAUAGAUUGCAUCUGAAACUGAUAUGCUUGAGUCAAGGAGAGGAAAGUGGAAUUCCUAGUGUAGCGGUGGAAUGCGUAGAUAUUAGGAGGAAUACCGGUGGCGAAGGCGACUUUCUGGACUUGAACUGACGCUGAGGCACGAAAGCGUGGGGAGCAAACAGG
rnacentral:rRNA from 1 species